UACCAUGUUGGUGGCACUGUAAGCAAUAAUAUGCGACAGUUAUAUAUCUCUAAUGGUUGAAGAGAGAUGUAUGACAAAAUAGUGCCGGCCUAGGUGCCGGCAUGAGAUUUAAGUGCUGCCAUGGUCAGACGUGGGAUAUUCUUUGUAAGAGUAGCAUGUGUGCUCCUGUUACAUUUGUAUAAUUAUAAAUUUGACGCCAUUUGGUAUUUUGAGUAGAUAAUAUAAAUCCAUUGGCAUUAUUUGAUUUUUUCGGUAAAAAGCAGAAAGGAAAAUACAUUUACCGUAAAAUAGUUUAUUGCAUGUACAUAAUGAUAUCACUCGCCCGUGAUAUUCAAAAAAAUAUAAAUACCGUAUUAAUGUGCAACCAAGGGAGUUGAUUAAUUACGUAAAUUUUACAGGUUUAAAAAGCUUUUAAAACAAUACUUAGUAUUAAUUGAUGCCUAAUAUUUGAAUAUCACAGUUGAACACUGAGACCACAAAUAAUGUACACCACUACUUUUUUAGUGAAAAAUUUUUGAAGUUUGAAGUCUCGUAACUUUUGAAUCAUUGGGAAUACAUCUCUGUCAUUAUUAGUAACUUUAAUGAGGACUUAAAGCCUUACAAAACUAGUCAAUUUCUCCAAAAUUGCCAAAGUACAAAUUUUUUUUUUAGAAUGUGACGUCAUUUCCAUGCUUUUUAAAUGUGAUAUCUAUGUAUAUCUUCGUAAGUGCAUGGAUAGUCGAAUAUGAAUCGUAUGUAGCUAUACAUUGUCAUGAAUAAAGAGAUUAAUUCUGCAUAUCCGGGUAAAACCAUAUUGUCUAUGUAUUCCCAUAUAUGGACAUAUAUGAGAAUAUAAACCUGUAUACUGUCAUACAUGGCAAUUUAGAAGCAAACAGAUUUUAUAAAUUUAUGUAUACAGUAGUUGUAUAAAAUAAUCGAAAAUUUUUGAACAUGCUGCGAAACUUCAUUUCACCAAAAUAAAAAAUUACAUAACUAAACUUUUAAAAUCAUGUACUUCUAUUAAGUUUCCAAAGAUUUGGUAAAUUUUCGUAUAAUAAUUGAUCUACAACUAACAAUUAGAAAUGUCGCAGGUGAUAUUAAUAUACUGCAGCAUUCUUGAAUGUAUAACUUGAUACUAAAAAAUUUAAGACGGAGAUACACACAUGUUACCGGCAACAACAAUGAAGUUAGAUUUGCACGAACACCGAUAGUGAAUGCAAGCAGAGUUUUCAGGCAUGCAUUGAUCAUUUCUCCAACAAUAUCCAUCUAACGUAGGGAGACAAGUAGAAUUAUUUAUCGCAAUAUUAUUCAACUUACAAAUACAUCUGCCAUCAUAUGAACAUCGUGAAUGCCACAAAUCGCUACACUCCGUGUUAUCAUCACAGUGAUAUAGCAAGUGUGCUGUAAAAAAAGAAAUAAAAUAAACGUAUAAGCAGGCACAUUGCCUAUAUAAUAAUCUCUUGCUAGUCAAGACACUGAUAAAAAAUUUUUUCCGAUAGAUACUACAUUCCACUACGGAAAGAAAUCUAGAUAACACCAUUGAACACUGUCAAAAAUUGAUUAAUGUUAAUAAGUAUUUAUUACAGUUCAUUAUUACUCUGACUAGUGAAUUUUGCAAUACAAUUAGAAGUAAUUAAUGUUCACUAUUGUUUCAUUACUGAUCAUGACUAGCUGAAGGAGUGAGCCUACAGCUCUAUUAACAGAAAUAAAUUUCGAUCAAGUUAAAAAAUAUCGUGAACAAUUUCAAAUUGCUCAAUCAUCACGAUUAAUAUGAUUUGCAUUGUUGAAAUUAUUAAGAUUUCUAUGAUAAAUGUAUAGAUUUUAAAAAUAAUACUAACUAUUCCGUGUUUGAGCCCCACUUAUAACGAAUAAUUUUUCUUCGAUAAAAAAAUAAAAAGCAUCGAUUAAUCAGUACAAACCGACCCGGGAAAAAAAAUUUAGAUAUAUUCUGAUCAAAUUAGAUCAGCUCAAAUCAAAUUUGAUCAUAAUUUAUACUGAAUCCAGAUCAGAGUAGAUCUAAUUUGAUCUGAUCAGAUUAAACUAGAUCUGAUCAGAUAUGACAUUUUUCUUUAGGGAAAAAUAGUCCAAAGCUACCCUGAUCAAAUUUAAUCAAGUCAGAUCAACCUAGAUCUAGUCAAAUCAAAACAGAUCAACAUUGAUUAAACGAUCAAUUUAUGAAGUAAAUAUAAAUAGAUAUAAUUGGACCUGUACGGAUCAAACCAGAUCUGAGCUGAUAUAACUUUUUCUCGGGAAAAAAAGUUCAGAUCUGCUCUGAUCAGAUUAGAUCUGUACAGACCAUAAAGAAAUAUUUCUUCACAUUAUAUUAUAAUUAGAAGAUUAACUAAACUGUGAAAAAUUGACAACAAAUUUUACUAUGGGUGCAUUGUAACACCGGACCAUAAGAAAACUGAUACAAAAUUUACAAGUGUCCCAUAGUAAACGGUAUGCGCAGACGACACAAUUGGGGCCUAUGCGCAUACGUUUACUAUGGUGCACUUGUAAAUUUUGUACCAGUUUUCUUAUGGUCCGGGGUUACAAUGCAACCAUAGUAGAAUUUAAUGGGAAUUUGUCACAGUGUAGCUGAAUUUGGACACAUUUACCUAAAUGUUGACAAUUGUAAAAAAUCUAUCGUAAUUAAAAUAAAUACAUUUUCU